CCUUUUUGUUAAAAAGACAAAAGUAAUUCAUAAGUUAAUAAGUUAGUUAAAAUUCUAUAAGUUAGUUCAAAUGUAAAUAUUGUAGUCCAAAGAGUUCAUCUAAAAAUGAUAGCGAGUGAGACCUCGCCUUUUCCAGCAAACGUGCAUUUAUGUUGAAAGCAAGAGCAUCUGUCGCAAUUAGCGAUCUUUGUCGCCAGCCUUUUUUCCUCCUUCCAAGCAUGUUUCUCAGCGCCUGCGAGGCUUAAAACAUCGACGAACUUGCUCUGCCGGCUAAGCCUUGGCUAACCUUCGUCUUUGUGAGUUUUUAGUUGGUUUGUAUGUUGAGUUUGAAGGAAAAAUGUGUGUUUUGUUUAUGGCGAACUUUUUCGUUAUUCAUUGAUAUGACUGGAGACAUUGUGUUUGUGCUAAGCUACUCACACGUGCAAGAUAUUAAUGUAUAACAUUUUGAAUGUAUUAUUAAUUUAUAUUUCGUAUUGUAUUUCAGUUACCGCAUCACAACAACAACACACGUUAUACACACAAAUUGAGACCUCCAUAAAAUCAAGAAAAGUACGCCUUGUCUCUGGAGAGUUUCAUUUUUUGGUUCGCUGGCUGUAUAGCAACACACGUGACGUGUUGUGAGGACAGCACAGUAAAAAGACGAUUACUCAGCGGGCUCCAGCAGCACAGAGCUAUAUCGAGGCAACAUGAGUCUCCGCUCAGGAAGAAGCUAUCUGGGAGGUUACGACCAACAGACUGAAGAUGAAGCAGCCCUCCAGCCACAAAUCGACUCGGAAGACGAACUGGACGCCGGGACAGCCACAGAUCGACUAGACCCUACAGUGCAGCCGUCGUCGAUGGAGCAACGUUCUUCACCUCAACAGCGGUCUUCACCUCAACAGCGGCCUUCACCGCAGCGUCAGCCUUCACCUCAGCAGCAGCCUUCACCGCGGCGACAGCCUUCACCUCAACAGUGGUCUUCGCCUUGCCAACAACUUUCGCCUCAACAGUGGUCCUCGCCUCGACGACAGCCUUCACCUCCACGCAGCACUAGGUCCAGCGCUCCCAGUCGGCGGACACACUCAUCUUCAUCGUCGGUUUUCUCAGCAACAAGGGCUUACGCCAAAGCUCAGGCAGCCAAGGCCCAACUUAGCUUUGCUGAAAAGGAAGCUAACAUGAUGAGGCAAAGAGCAGAAUUAGAGGCUAGUCUCUACGUUCUGAAGUGUGAAAAAGAAAUAGCUGCAGCCGAAGCUGAAGCUGCAGCCUACGAAGAAGUAGAACGUCAGAGCGGGGAGUCAGACAUAGAACCUCAAAUUGAAAAUGUGCCUUUGAAUUCAAUACAGCGCACUAGUGAAUAUGUUGAACAGCAACACAAAUUAUUAGUGCCAUCAAAAACAGUAGUUAAUAGCUCGGACAUGCAAGACACAAAUGAACAUGUCAGAGUUAAAGCUGAAACUUCGCACGUCUCAGAACCCACGAUUCAGGGCGUCAAACACGAAACGAAAAUAAAUCAAAAUAUAAAUAACACCCAGUCUUUGAACCCACACGCUCAUACGUUUCAACCGGCAAAAAACAACCAAAUUGAACUAAAUGGAGCAGCAGAGUUCGCUAAAUAUCUCAUACGCAAAGAAUUGGUCAGUACUGGUUUACUGCAAUUUGAUGAUAAACCAGAAAACUUCCGAGCUUGGAAGGCGUCCUUCGUCAGCUCGACAAAAGAUCUGAAUUUGUCCGCUAGAGAGGAAUUAGACUUACUAACAAAGUGGUUGGGGCCAAAAUCAGCAGAACAAGCUAAAAGAAUCCGCAUAGUUCACACUCUUAAUCCCGCUAAAGGUACAAAAAUGAUUUGGGAACGCCUCGAAGAGUGUUAUGGAUCCUCAGAAGCGAUCGAAGAUGCACUUCUAAAAAAGAUAGAAGAGUUCCCAAGACUAACAAAUAAAGAUCCAACCAAGCUUAGAGAACUUGGUGACAUCUUGUUAGAGUUAGAGUGGGCAAAAUCAGACGGAACACUUCCAGGGCUUGCGUAUCUUGACACGGCACGAGGGGUAAGGCAAAUAGUGGAAAAACUCCCCUUCAAUUUACAAGAAAGGUGGACAGUUGUGGGCUCACAAUAUAAAGACACUUACAGUGUGCCGUUUCCCCCUUUCUCAGUUUUCGUGCAGUUUGUACAGCAACAGGCGAAAAUGCGAAAUGAUCCGAGCUUCGCCUUAUACAACAGUAACGCACAAACGUCCAGUCGCACAGAGAGGUCGACACCACACAAUCGUAAAUUUGCUGUGACAGUACACAGAACAGACGUUGCAAUCGAAAAUCAGAGUGGGCCUGACCAAAAUAAAAUAGAGGAGCCAGAUCGGCAAUGCCCAAUUCACAAAAAGCCACAUCCUCUCAAAAAAUGCAAACUGUUUAGAGACAAGCCUAUGGAAGAGCGCCGCACCUUCCUCAAAGAGCAUCGCAUUUGUUAUAGGUGUUGUGGCUCAGUACAACAUGUUGCAAAAGAUUGCAAGGUGGCAGUCAAGUGUGUUGAGUGCAACAGUCCUAACCACGUGUGGGCACUUCAUCCAGGUCCCACUUCUGUUCCCAAAAAUGACGUCUCAGAAAGUUCAGUUACUGAGCAGGAAACUGCAGUGCUUUCCAUGUGUACGGAAGUAUGCGGUCAAAAUGAAAGCCCUCGCUCUUGCUCCAAAAUCUGUUUAGUGAGAGCUUAUCCAGAAGGCCAAAAACACAAAAUGCUAAAUAUGUACGCAGUGAUCGAUGAACAAAGCAAUAGGUCCCUGGCAAGAACAGAGUUCUUUAAUUUGUUUGAAAUCAAGGCCAAACCUGCUCCAUACACCCUAAAAACAUGUUCUGGAAAGGCAGAAACCUCAGGCAGAAGAGCAGCAAACUUCUUCAUACAGUCAAUGGAUGGCAAAACUGACAUCAAACUGCCUCCUUUGAUUGAAUGUGACUCAAUACUUGAUGACAGAUCAGAAAUACCAUCACCUGAGAUUGCAAAGCACCAUCCUCAUCUCUUCAGAAUUGCAGACAAAAUUCAACCCAUUGAUCACCACGCUCCAAUCCUUCUACUCCUGGGAAGAGACGUUCUCAGGGUUCAUAAGGUACGUGAGCAGAUUAACGGGCCCAACAACGCUCCCUACGCCCAAAGACUGGAUUUGGGUUGGGUUGUAGUGGGGGAGGUAUGUUUAGGCAAGAUUCACGGCAACACAGAGGUCAAUGUUUACAAAACGCACAUGUUGGACAAUGGGCGCACAACCUUUCUUCAGCCAUGUCCAAAUGUCAUUACUGUAAAAGAGGACCAUAGUGUUGGGAUUGAGCAAAACAUACUGACAAGUACAAACAGAAUGGACUCUGUAGACAUCACAGACAAGCUAGGUCAAUCUGUGUUUGACAGAGAUGAAUCAGAUGACAAGGUAGCACUGUCCAUAGAUGACAAAACCUUCCUAACGAUCAUGAAGAACAACGUGAGCAAAAACAAAGAGAACAAUUGGGUCGCUCCUUUGCCUUUCCGCAGACCAAGGAGGAGGCUUCCAAACAAUAGAGAUGCAACCCUGAAGCGUCUCUAUUCACUUAAAAAGACUUUGGAAAAGAAACCAAAAAUGAAAGAGCAUUACAUCCAAUUUAUGCAGAAAAUGCUGGAUAAUGAUCAAGCUGAACUUGCACCGCCUCUACCUGAAGGUAAAGAACACUGGUAUUUGCCAACAUUUGGCGUAUAUCACCCGCAGAAACCAGAUCAAAUUAGAGUCGUGUUCGAUUCUAGUGCAGAGUGUGAUGGUACGUCCCUUAACCAAGUGCUAUUAAGUGGACCCGAUCUGAACAAUUCCCUGUUAGGUGUCUUGAUGCGAUUCCGGAAGGAACCAGUUGCCUUAACAGCGGACAUUCAGCAAAUGUUUUAUUGCUUUGAGGUGUGCGAAGACCACAGGGACUAUCUUCGCUACCUCUGGUUUAAAGACAAUGACCUUACAAAAAAUGUAGUGGAAUACCGAAUGAAAGUACAUGUCUUCGGUAACAGUCCAUCACCUGCUGUUGCCAUUUACUGUAUGCGCCGGGCAGCAGAGGAGGGUGAGCAAGAACACGGCACAGAUGCUAGACAGUUUGUCGAGACACAGUUCUAUGUCGACGAUGGACUUACAUCUGUCCCCACUCCAGAACAUGCAAUUGACCUGUUAACAAGAACAAAAAGCUUGUUAGCAGAAUCCAACCUGCACCUUCACAAAAUUGCAUCGAAUUGCAGCUUGGUCAUGGAAGCAUUUCCUAUGGAGGACCGUGCAAAGGAACUGAAACAUCUGGACCUUGGAGUUGAUCCCCUUCCAGUUCAGAAAAGCCUAGGACUUUGUUGGAAUUUGGAAACUGACAGUUUCACUUAUCGCGUAUCCAAUGAAACAAAACCAUUCACACGCAGAGGAGUGCUAUCGACAAUCAAUAGCCUCUAUGACCCGUUAGGAUUUGCUGCUCCUAUAAUCCUGCAGGGCAAGGCACUGCUCAGAGAACUGUCAUGUGAUGAGAAAGACUGGGAUGCACAUCUUCCCCCUGAAAAAGAGCAGUUGUGGAUCUCGUGGAAAGACUCUUUGAAUGCUCUUGAGGAUCUGGAAAUAAAAAGGUGCUAUGGGCCAGGUUCAGUGAGUACUAUGCAAAGUCAUGAUUUGUUUGUUUUCUCAGAUGCAUCAACUGUGGCGAUAGGGGCAGCAGCUUACCUGCGCUCUGUGGACAGUCAAGGUCAAUAUCACGUAGGCUUCGUGAUGGGAAAGUCUAAACUAGCUCCUCGUCCGGCACACACUGUUCCUCGGCUUGAACUUUGUGCUGCCGUGCUCGCAGUAGAGAUGUACGAGUUAAUCCGAGAUGAGAUGGACAUUCAAAUUCACAAUGUCAAGUUUUUCACCGACAGCCGUAUUGUGUUAGGAUACAUACAUAAUUCUUCGAAAAGAUUCUACAUGUAUGUAGCCAACCGAGUCACACGAAUUAGGAGAUCUACACAACCAGAACAAUGGUGCUACGUGCCAACAGAGUUAAACCCAGCAGAUCAGGCGACUAGGUCACUCCAAGCUGCUGAACUCAAAAACAGUAACUGGUUCACCGGGCCAAAAUUUCUGUAUUCAAAUGACUCGCCCAAAGUCAGUCAGUUCCCACUUGUCGAACCCGAAAAUGACAAAGAAAUGCGUCAAGAAGUAAAAACGCUUACUACCUCAGUACUAGAGUCAGAGCUUGGUUCAGAGCGCUUCAAAAGGUUCUCAAGCUGGACAACAGCAUGCAAGGCAAUAUCCAGGCUCAUUCAAUUUGUUGCCCUCUUUAAGCAAAGGCCAAGUGGAAAAGCAGGGUUUUCAAGUCACAUAACAAGUAUGGAAGAAUUCACUCAAGCCAAAAAUAUCAUUAUAAGAUCAGUCCAGCAGGAUGCAUACAGUGGGAUCAUUAAAAAAGUAAAACAGGGGAAAAUGAUUGGUUCAAGAAAAGAGACACUCAUGAAACUUAACCCAGUUUUGGACAAGGAUGGACUUUUGCGAAUCGGUGGGCGCCUAUCUUCUGCUGAACUUAAUGAAGAUGAAAAACACCCUCUGAUCAUCCCAUCUUCCAGUCACGUAGCCACACUCCUAGUGCGACACUUCCACGAACAGUCUGCUCAUCAGGGACGGCACAUCACAGAAGGAGCUGUCCGUAGUGCUGGGUUCUGGAUAGUGGGAGGUAAGCGGCUCGUUUCUUCUUUGAUACACAACUGUGUCACCUGCCGCAAGUUGCGUGGCAAAAUGCAGUUUCAGAAAAUGGCUGAUUUGCCUGCUGACCGAGUGACUCCAGAGCCCCCUUUCACAACAGUGGGCUUGGACGUGUUCGGGCCAUGGACAAUAGUUACACGUCGCACGAGAGGUGGCAGUGCACUAAGCAAACGGUGGGCUGUUAUUUUCUCAUGCAUGACAACUAGGGCCGUACAUAUCGAGCUAAUUGAAAGCAUGUCAACUGACAGCUUUAUAAAUGCAUUAAGGAGAUUUUUUGCAGUUCGUGGGCCAGCUAAACUUUUGCGUUCAGAUCGAGGAACUAAUUUUGUUGGAGCUUGUAAAGAACUGGGCUUGGACACUGAUAAGUCAGCUACAGGAAAGUUCCUUCAAGAGAAAGGAUGUGCAUGGACAUUUAACCCACCUCAUGCAUCCCACAUGGGAGGGUCUUGGGAACGUCUCAUUGGGGUAGCUAGGCGCAUCCUGGAAGCUAUGUUGACAAAAAAUGCUCAGACCAAUCUGUCUCAUGAGAUUUUAAGCACAUUCAUGGCUGAAGUGAUGGCUAUUAUUAAUGCAAGACCUCUAGUCCCAGUGUCCACAGAUCCUGAGUCCCCAACAGUACUCACUCCAGCAAUGCUACUAACUCAAAAGGCAAGUUCCGUUUCAGCUCCAUCCGGAAACUUUUCCCAGGGUCAGCUAUAUGGGAAACAAUGGAAACGGGUCCAACAUCUGGCGGACACGUUUUGGAAAAGAUGGAAAAUGGAAUAUUUGUCUAGCUUGCAAAAACGUUCAAAAUGGACGAACAAUCAACCGAAUGUGAAAGAAGGAGACAUUGUCCUGUUGAAAGAUGCUCAAGCACACAGGAACGAAUGGCCAAUGGGACUGAUAGUUAGAACUGUACCCAGCGGUGACAAUAGGGUCCGCAAAGUUGAAGUGCGGAUCGUGAGAGAUGGCACAGCCAAAGUGUUCUUAAGACCUGUGUCAGAAAUUGUUGUUUUACUUUCAGAUAUUAACUGAAUACCACAUGUGAUGUCAUAUGUUUCUCGUUUAAUAGUGAUAUAAUGUAAUUAUAUCAAGCGGGGAGUGUCAUGCCUUUUUGUUAAAAAGACAAAAGUAAUUCAUAAGUUAAUAAGUUAGUUAAAAUUCUAUAAGUUAGUUCAAAUGUAAAUAUUGUAGUCCAAAGAGUUCAUCUAAAAAUGAUAGCGAGUGAGACCUCGCCUUUUCCAGCAAACGUGCAUUUAUGUUGAAAGCAAGAGCAUCUGUCGCAAUUAGCGAUCUUUGUCGCCAGCCUUUUUUCCUCCUUCCAAGCAUGUUUCUCAGCGCCUGCGAGGCUUAAAACAUCGACGAACUUGCUCUGCCGGCUAAGCCUUGGCUAACCUUCGUCUUUUUACCGCAUCACAACAACAACACACGUUAUACACACAAAUUGAGACCUCCAUAAAAUCAAGAAAAGUACGCCUUGUCUCUGGAGAGUUUCAUUUUUUGGUUCGCUGGCUGUAUAGCAACACACGUGACGUGUUGUGAGGACAGCACAUGUGUGUUUGUGUAUAUAAUAAUAAAAUGUGCAUAUCAGAUCAAAGUCGUACGUGCACUGUGUGUAUCCCAGGCAGGAAUUUAUAAUUUGUUCUUCUUUCUAUAUAAAGAUUAGGGAUGUAGCACAAAUUCAUCAGCUAUGGUAUUGCUAUGGUAUUCUUUCUAUUGUCAUACAUAUAGAUUUCCAUUAUUAUUUAUUGCUGUAUAUAUUUUUAUUUUAUACUUUAUUAUUUUCAUAAAUACUGACUUUUUUUUCAUGUACAUUUAUAGUGACAAUGAAAAAUAUACAUUCACUGCCCGAAUGGAAAGAGGACGAGGGAGAAGGGGUCAUCACGGAAGAGCGAUGAGAUGUCAGCGGAGGGGAGGCCGGAGAAGUCAGCGUGGCAGAAGCCGAUCACCACUGGCUCAGCCUGCACCUGUGCCAUGGAGCACAGAGCAAGACACAGACACUGCCCCACAGUGCAGCCGGUUCACACCCCGGAGACCACCAGGACCUCAGGUGAAUCGUGACCAUGCAUACACCCCAAAAGAACUUUUUGACCUGUUCUUCACCUCAUCGACAAUGAUGAAUAUGUGCAAACACACAAACCAGUAUGGCAGAGUCCGAAAAGAGAUUGGGAAAAAGUUUGUGUGGACAGACACUACAGUGGAGGAGCUUGAAAAAUUUAUUGGACUCCUCUUGUACAUGUCUUUGGUUUCACUUCCAACUGUGCAAGAUUAUUGGAAGGCAAGGAAUUCCAGGACGAAACAGCUUUUCGGAAUGGCAUGCCUGAAAAAAAUUUAACUUGUUUAUUGUAAAUAUUUUUGAAAAUACUUUUUUUCCAAUGCUAAGUAUAUAUUUUUCCCCCCCACAAUCAGUCUUCUCAAUUUGUGUAUAUAAAUGUGUGUUCAAGAAGCUUGAUUGUGUGUACAUAGUUUUGAUCAGGUGAUGGGCCACAAUACCUAAAUUCAUAAAGGGAUGGCCUCUAAACACUUUUUGUGUUAGAUGGUAUAUAUUUUUUCACUGUUCUUCACUGUUUGGUCUGCUGUAUAUAACCCGUUUUGACUAGAGCAUGUAUAAAAGCAAAAAACGCCUAUGGCCAUACCUGUUGUUUAUGUUGAAUUGUCAAAUAUAAGACUAUUUAUUCUAAAUUUUUUUGGUUGAAUGUUCAUCCUAACAUGUUGAAUAAAUAUUAUAAAGUUUCAAAACGGUUCGUUACGCAUGUUUGGUUGUCAAUUGGACAUCAAUAUUAAAAAUUUUCACAAAACGAUUUUGGAAUUUUUGGUCUUUUUGGGCCCAAAAUGAUGAUUUAUAAUUGGUCAGUGAAAGAAACAACA